rnacentral:rRNA from 1 species
UGCCACUCUUAACGGGGUGGCUUUUCAGAAGUGUAAAAGGCUUCUGGAAUAAGGGCUGGGCAAGACCGGUGCCAGCCGCCGCGGUAACACCGGCAGCUCAAGUGGUAGCCGCUUUUAUUGGGCCUAAAGCGUCCGUAGCCGGUCUGAUAAGUCUCUGGUGAAAUCCCACAGCUUAACUGUGGGAAUUGCUGGAGAUACUAUCAUGACUCGAGGUCGGGAGAGGCUGGAGGUACUCCCAGGGUAGGGGUGAAAUCCUGUAAUCCUGGGAGGACCACCUGUGGCGAAGGCGUCCAGCUGGAACGAACCUGACGGUGAGGGACGAAAGCCAGGGGCGCGAACCGGAUUAGAUACCCGGGUAGUCCUGGCCGUAAACGAUGUGGACUUGGUGUUGAGAUGGCUUCGAGCUGCCCCAGUGCCGAAGAGAAGCUGUUAAGUCCACCGCCUGGGAAGUACGGCCGCA